UAGGGAAUAUUGGACAAUGGGUGUAAGCCUGAUCCAGCCAUGCCGCGUGCAGGAAGAAGGCCUUCUGGGUUGUAAACUGCUUUUGCCGGGGGAUAAAAGAUCCAUGCGUGGAGAAUUGAAGGUACCCGGUGAAUAAGCCACGGCUAACUACGUGCCAGCAGCCGCGGUAAUACGUAGGUGGCAAGCGUUGUCCGGAUUUAUUGGGUUUAAAGGGUGCGUAGGCGGCCUUGUAAGUCAGUGGUGAAAUACUCCAGCUUAACUGGAGGGGUGCCAUUGAUACUGCAGGGCUUGAGUUAAGUUGAAGUUGGCGGAAUUGACGGUGUAGCGGUGAAAUGCUUAGAUAUCGUCAAGAACACCGAUAGUGAAGACAGCUAACUAAACUUUUACUGACGCUGAGGCACGAAAGUGUGGGGAUCAAACAGGAUUAGAUACCCUGGUAGUCCACACUGUAAACGUUGAAGACUCGCUGUGUGCGAUAUACAGUACGCGGCUUAGAGAAAUCGUUAAGUCUUCCACCUGGGGAGUACGCCGGCAACGGUG
rnacentral:rRNA from 1 species